rnacentral:lncRNA from 1 species
AUGAGACGACUAGUUGCCUCACAGGAGCUAUUGCUGGUUCUGCUGAUUUCGCUGCAGUGUCUUUCCUGCCUUGCAAUUGCAAAUCCUGCGUUGGAUCGCCAAGCUGAAGCACUUCUCCAAUGGAAAUCUGGUCUAAGGGGCGAUCUCUCCUACUGCGGGCUAGAGGAAUGGAGCAACGCAACCAGCCCAUGCAACUGGUCAGGCAUAUACUGCAGCUACAAGGUGCGCCGUGGCCAUGAGCGUGAUGCCAUCCUAGUUGUGACAAACAUUACACUUUUCUCAUGUAACAUCUCCGGUGGUUUGAGCAAGCUCCGAUUUGCACAAUUGCCUCAUCUUGUCUUUCUCGACCUUAGCAUUAACUCUCUCUAUGGACCAAUUCCGUCUGAUAUUGGUCGUCUUGCUGAGCUCUCUUACUUGGAUCUCUCUAACAAUAAGCUCACUGGAUCCAUCCCGCCAUCGAUAGAAUUGUAUCUCUCCAUAAAUGAAAUCACGGGUUUCAUUCCUGAAAGUAUAGGAAAUUUAAGGAGUUUAAUAAAAUUGUAUCUCUCCACAAAUGAAAUCACGGGUUCCAUUCCUGAAAGUAUAGGAAAUCUAACGAGCUUACAAAACAUGGAUCUUUCCAACAACCGAAUCAUUGGCCCCAUCCCUUCAACCUUUUCGAAACUUAUAUCUUUAAUAACACUGAAACUUGAGUCCAAUGUGCUAAAUGAUAUACUGCCACCAGAACUAGGAUUUCUACGUAAUCUUUUUGUUCUAGAUCUAAGCAGCAAUCAGUUUACGGGAAGCAUUCCACCUCAGAUAGGACAGUUUCACUAUUUGUCCUUGUUGCGCCUGCGAAACAACUUACUGACAGGACCAAUACCAGAAGAGCUUGGGUAUUGUACCGACCUAACUGAGUUGGAUUUGAGCAGAAAUAAUUUAAGUGGUGCCAUACCAAUGACUUUCAUGAUGCUUUACCGAUUACUUGAGCUGAAUUUAUCAUACAACAGUUUGGGCGGCAGAUUUUUUGGUUUCUACACAACUGAAGCCUCUUCUGUAGUUUCACUAGACCAUAAUACAGGUAUCUGUGGUGAUCCAUUAUAUGGCUUGACACCGUGUCAACCAUCAAAUCCAAAUCCUGACAGUUUACAUACAAAUGAAAAUUCCGACAGUAAACAUCUUGUUCCGAGGCUACUUCUUGCCUUUGCAAUGUUUUCUUGCAUCUGGCUCGUGGGUGGAAGCAUCACAGUG